rnacentral:lncRNA from 1 species
UCCUAUUUAACUGGAGUUAGAAGUGUGAUAGUAGAAGGUAUCAUGCUGGACAAAAUUGAGUAUCAAAUGAUAUGGUUCCUUUAUUUUCAAGGAAAAUCUACACAAACAAUCCACAAAGAAAUGUCAGCUGUUUAUGAAAAGGAAUGUCCAUCAUAUGAGACUGAAAUGAUGGAAAAGGGAAUUUUAAAUGUGGUCACAUCAGCCUGCGGGAUGAUCCAAGAGAAGGCAGUCCAGCAAGAUCAUAUCUGUGUUUUGGGACAAAAGACAGAUAGGACAAGGUAGAGGUAUCAUAUUGAUUUAGAUUACUUACUAAAUGGAUCAACAGUAAUGGGCAUACUACAGAAACUUGCUACAAAAGUUACAGUAUAAUAUCAACAUGAAAAAAAAUGUGAUUUCUGUCAAUAGAUAUGUUCCUGCCAGCUGACAAUGCACCUGCACAUUGAACUGCAGAAACAAUCAUUUUUCUAUGCAGAUAUUGCUAUGAGAUCUUGCCCCAUCCCUGU